rnacentral:lncRNA from 10 species
AUUGCUUGAGCCCAGGAGUUUGAGGCUGCAGUGAGACAUUCUACUCCACUCUACUCCAACCUGGGCGAUAGAGCAUGCCCUUGUCUUAAAAAAAAAAAAAAAAAAAAAAAACUGCUGGGAUGUCACUUUCAAGAUUAAGUACCAAAGGACUGUGACUUCUGUUUUGCUCUCAUACAUUCUCUGUCUGAGAGCUGGGAGCUUGUCUUUAAGUAGAAACCCACCCAUCCCCAGGGAGAAGGCAGGAGGGAAAAGGAGGAGAGGUCACAGACAAGCCCCCUGACUCUGUUGAUCUUCACUGCAGUAGCUUCUCAUUACAAGCAGGCAUCUGGCCAUUGUAGACCAUUAUAACUGUAGUUCUAGAAGUAAUAAUAGCAGAUUUAUUGUACAGAAGUGUCCACGGGCUCACAAUUCUAAGGACAUCAUCAUGACAGCAAGUAGGAAAAAAAAUUAAAGUAAUUCUUUCACCAAUUACCAGUUUAUCUCUUCUCCAAUUCCUUUGGAUACGCCUCCUGCAAGAAGCCGAUUUCCAGCUGUAUGUGAUAAUGAAAGGGUUUUUCUUUCUUAUGUUAAAUACAAGCGAAGUGAUUAACUGGAAGAUAGCGUCUGAUUGCGAGGAAAUCAGUGAUUCAGAUGGUGUGGGAAUGGCACCUGGGGAUGGGGGAGGCAGGACGGAGAUGGAGGAAGCUGGUGCAGCCUAGCCUGCCUUGUGCCAAGGACACCCAAGGGCAGAGGGACUGAGCUCUGGGGGAGGACAGAUUUGACAUAACUGGUCCAGCCUCACAGUUUACAGGUCCUGGAGGGUGAGGAAAGUGGGAGCUGGCUGCGGAUGCAGGACAAGAACCCAGGGCUUCCCUUCAUUUUGCCUGCCCUGCCACUUCCUCCCGCCACUUCCACCCUUCCUACCCCUCCACCUCCCUUGUGCCUUUCACUGCCUUUUACAGCAUUUACAUUACACUUCAGUAAAAAGUUGUGGUUUUGGCUGGUUUUUUUUU